rnacentral:rRNA from 1 species
GGGAUAACAGUUAGAAAUGACUGCUAAUACCGCAUAAGCGCACAGGACCGCAUGGUCCGGUGUGAAAAACUCCGGUGGUAUGAGAUGGACCCGCGUCUGAUUAGCUGGUUGGCGGGGUAACGGCCCACCAAGGCGACGAUCAGUAGCCGACCUGAGAGGGUGGCCGGCCACAUUGGGACUGAGACACGGCCCAAACUCCUACGGGAGGCAGCAGUGGGGAAUAUUGCACAAUGGGGGAAACCCUGAUGCAGCAACGCCGCGUGAGUGAAGAAGUAUUUCGGUAUGUAAAGCUCUAUCAGCAGGGAAGAAAAAAGACGGUACCUGACUAAGAAGCCCCGGCUAACUACGUGCCAGCAGCCGCGGUAAUACGUAGGGGGCAAGCGUUAUCCGGAUUUACUGGGUGUAAAGGGAGCGUAGACGGCAUAGCAAGUCUGAAGUGAAAGCCCGUGGCUCAACCGCGGAACUGCUUUGGAAACUGUUAAGCUGGAGUACUGGAGAGGCAAGCGGAAUUCCUAGUGUAGCGGUGAAAUGCGUAGAUAUUAGGAGGAACACCAGUGGCGAAGGCGGCUUGCUGGACAGAGACUGACGUUGAGGCUCGAAAGCGUGGGGAGCAAACAGGAUUAGAUACCCUGGUAGUCCACGCGGUAAACGAUGAAUGCUAGGUGUUGGCGGGCAAAGCCCGUCGGUGCCGCCG